rnacentral:rRNA from 1 species
AACGAACGCUGGCGGCAGGCCUAACACAUGCAAGUCGAACGCUGUAGCAAUACAGAGUGGCAGACGGGUGAGUAACGCGUGGGAACCUACCCUUUGGUUCGGAAUAGCUCAGGGAAACUUGAGGUAAUACCGGAUAAGCCCUUCGGGGGAAAGAUUUAUCGCCAAAGGAUGAGCCCGCGUCGGAUUAGCUAGUUGGUGGGGUAACGGCCUACCAAGGCGACGAUCCGUAGCUGGUCUGAGAGGAUGAUCAGCCACACUGGGACUGAGACACGGCCCAGACUCCUACGGGAGGCAGCAGUGGGGAAUAUUGGACAAUGGGGGCAACCCUGAUCCGGCCAUGCCGCGUGAGUGACGAAGGUCUUCGGAUUGUAAAGCUCUUUUGGCGGGGAAGAUAAUGACGGUACCCGCAGAAUAAGCCCCGGCUAACUUCGUGCCAGCCGCCGCGGUAA